UUCUUAGAAAAGGGCAUACAGUGACUUUGACCAUAAUCCUAAUGCCUGUACAUGCAGUGGAAGGAGAAUCAGAAACUGAGAUCCUCAAGAAGCGGAAUGCUUGACUCUUCCAUUCACUCCCUGAUGUGGGGAAGGCCAACUGCAUGAAGGAAUAAUGCAUCCUCCCAAUACAAGUAAAGAUACUGGAUCCGCUCCUCCUGCUGGUCUAGCGAGCAAUCCGCCCAGAGAUUUGAUCUUGUGACUUAAUCAUUUUCUAUUCAGUGCGAAAAUGAAGUGAGAAUCUGCACAGGGAAAGAUGAGUGUAAGCCUGCAAAGAGAAAUGUGAAAAGAGUUGAUUUUGAUUAUAAU
rnacentral:lncRNA from 1 species